GACGAACGCUGGCGGCGUGCUUAACACAUGCAAGUCGAACGAAGUGGCGCACGGGUGAGUAACGUGUAAUCAACCUGCCCUUCAGAGGGGGACAACAGUUGGAAACGACUGCUAAUACCGCAUACUGAAGGAGGGGAUUGCGUCUGAUUAGCUAGUUGGAGGGGGAAAGGCCCACCAAGGCGAUGAUCAGUAGGCGGUCUGAGAGGAUGAACGGCCACAUUGGGACUGAGACACGGCCCAGACUCCUACGGGAGGCAGCAGUGGGGAAUCUUCCGCAAUGGACGAAAGUCUGACGGAGCAACGCCGCGUGAGUGAUGACGGCCUUCGGGUUGUAAAGCUCUGUUAAUCGGGACGCGGUACCGGAAUAGAAAGCCACGGCUAAUUACGGGCCACCAGCCGCGUAAUUC
rnacentral:rRNA from 1 species